rnacentral:lncRNA from 1 species
CCCCCGGCUGCCAGCUGCUGCGCUGGGGGCCGUGCGGAGCUCUGCGGACGGCUGCGGGGUUGUAGGCAGGCGGCAGCUGCGGGCUGGGGGGCGGUUGGGGGGCUGCAGCUCGGGGGCUCCGUGCUGGGAGGGACGGAGGCGCUGCAGGGGCUGUCCGCCUUCUCCUCAGUACUCCCCGUACCUCAUCCGCUGUCCUGGGGGGCAGCUGGGGGGCUGUAAGCAGGCAGCGGGUGUGGGGCUGCAGCUCAGGGGCUCGGUGCUGGGGGGCAAUGAGGCACCGCGGGGGCUCCCCUCCUUCUCCUCAGCACUCCCCAUACCUCAUCCAUGGGGCAGCUGUGGGGCUGUGGGCUGGGGGGCAGGCGUGGGGCUGCAGCUCAGGGGCUCGGUGCUGGGGGGGCUCCCUGCCUCUUCAGUGCUCCCCAUACCUCAUCCGCGUCCCAUGGGGCAGCUGUGGGGCUGCAGGCAGGCAGCAGCUGUGGGUUGGGGGGCAGGUGUGGGGCUGCAGCCCCCCCCCUGCUGCACUCAGACUCAGUGCUGGGGGGCAGUGAGGGGGCUCCCCUCCUUCUCCUCAGUGCUGCAUACCGCAUCCAUAUCCCAUGGGGCAGCUGCAGGACUGCAGGCAGGCAGCAGUUGCAGGCUGGGGGGCAGGUGUGGGGCUGCAGCCCCCCGCUGCACUCAGGGGCUCAUUGUUGGGGCGCACUGAGGGGGCUCCCUUCUUUCUCUUCAGUGUUCUGUACCUCAUCCAUGUCUUGUGAGGCAGCUGGGGGGCAGUUGUGGGGCUGCAGCUCAGGGGCUCAGUGCUGGGGGGGCUCCCCGCCUCUUCAGUGCCCCCCAUACCUCAUCCGCGUCCCAUGGGGCAGCUGUGGGGCUGCAGGCAGGCGGCAGCUGUGGGUUGGGGGGCAGCUGUGGGGCUGCAGCCCCCCCCCCCGCUGCACUCAGACACAGUGCUGGGGGGCACUGAGGGGGCUCCCCUCCUUUCUCCUCAGUGCUCUCUCCCUCAUCCAUGCCCCAUGGGGCAGCUGUGGGGCUGUAAGCAGGCAGCAGGUGUGGGGCUGCAGCUCAGGGGCUCGGUGCUGGGGGGAACUGAGACAAUGGGGGGGCUCCCCUCCUUCUCCUCAGUACUGCAUACCAUGUCCAUGUCCCAUGGGGCAGGUGUGGGGCUGCAGGCAGCAGCUGGGGGUUGGGGGGCAGGUGUGGGGCUGCAGCCCACCCUGCUGCACUCAGACACAGUGCUGGGGGGCACUGAGGGGGCUCCCCUGCUUCUCCUCAGUGCUCUGUACUUCAUCCAUGUCCCAUGGGGCAGCUGUAGGGCUGCAGGCAUGCAGCAGCUGCAGGUUUUGGGGCAGGUGUGGGGCUGCAGCCCCUCUGGUGCACUCAGGGGCUCAGUGCGGGGGGGAGGGGACGACUGUGGGGGCUUCCUUCCUUCUCCUCAGUGCUCCAUACUUCACCCACCAUCCUGUGGGGCAGCUGUGGGGCUGUAAGUGGGCAGGUGUGGGGCAGCAGCUCAGGGACUCAGCACUGGGGGGGCUCUCAUUCUCAGCGCUCCGUACCUCAUCCACCGUCCUGAGAGGCAGCUGCGGGGCUGCAGGCAAGUGUGGGGCUGCAGCCCCCUGGUGGGCACGGGCUCAGUGCUGGGGGAACUGAGGCACCGUGGGGCUCUCCUCCUUCCUCACAGUGCUCCAUACCUCAUCCGCGUCCCGUGGGGCAGCUGUGGCUCCGCAGCUCCUUCUACACGGGAGUUCCUCGGCGCUGGGCGCGCUGCCCAACUCAGGGCCUGCAGUCUCCCAGUGCCGCCGGCCGGCUCUGGCUGCGCGCCCGGAGCUGUGCCCUGCGGGAGGAACGGAGCUCUGCGCUCUGGGCCGGGCUCUCCCCUCAUUCCCUCACCCGGGACGUGGGGCCUCUCCUCUCCCCACCGUUACCUCCGUUUUACCCCCACAGAGAGGGCUCUACAUCCCAUCCCCCCCCCCCCAUUUAUCCCCACGGGUGUAGUGCUGUAUUU